AGCAGUAUAUAAUCUGUUCGGAAAGCUGCUAAAAAUCGAGCGUAUUUCUUUUGCCCUGGUACACUUGGAUUGGAAAUAUAUACAAAGUCUUUAUAUUACAGAGGCCUGCUACAGUAGUUCAGAAGUGUAGGGUGCCGGCACUGUAAUGGCGUAUUUGACGACGUUGUUCUUCCUAAGCUUUGUUCACGUACAGUAUGCCUACAAAAAGGAUAGCACUUGCGAAGGACGCGGCUAUAUAUGCCUCACUUUCACAGAGUGUCCAGCGAAUAAAACAUUGCCUUUCUCUGGCUGCACAGGUUGGAAGAACUGUUGCAAUUAUCCCUUGCCUCGUACUACGCAACAUUUUGGUGCCAACGCUGUUGACAACUUGCCCCUUGUUUAAGGCAUCGGACUAUGCAUGGUGCAAAAAAAGGGGCGGAAGUUGCAUGGCCAAAUGCAAGGACUCAGACGUUGAACACCCAUAUGGGCGCUGUUCGCAAGAAGCCGACAAGUGCUGCAUUGACCUUAGUAAACGCACUAAUCGUUGGUGAAGUUCUUCUAUUUUGCUGGAUGGCAAAUCAGGACGCAGAGAAGAGUUGAAAACCUGCUCAUCUUUAAUGAGGACGUAUACGUGGAAGCCACACGCCCUAGAAAUGCACAAAACAAUUGGCCCUAAUGCCUAAGGAAAUAAAUAAACAAAUAACAAAUUUAAGAAAUGAUAAAUACGACGAAGGCCGAGAUUACUUAUUACCUUAAAAUCAAAUCUCUCAUAGAGAAAGUAAGAGCCU